AUCAUGGCCUGAGCCAAAACCGGGAGUCCACACUUCACCCACUGAGCCACCCCGGCACCCCAUGCCAAGUAUUUUCUAAAGUGAAAAAGAGCUUCAUUCAGAGGCCAGGACUUUGGGAUGGGCGAUGUUUUGCAGCAAGGAGCAGAAGGCAACAUAAAGCAGCUGCAAGAAUUAAUUCACCGAGAGAGUUGACAUUUUCAAGCUGACUGCCUCUUAGAGAAAAUGAUGUCAUCUUCUAGCAGUCUAAUGACAGUCAUCAGCCCAGGAGGACACAUGCUAAUAAGGUUCAUUGCUCACCUACUUUUCUUUUUGGUUUAGCUGGGACGUCCUUGGAUGCCCAUAAUUUGGCUUUGUCUUCCUAGAAUAAUUUCGAAGCAGGACUGCAGUAUGAAGCUCAGAGAGUGAUGUUUUUGUUGUUUUGUUUUUUCUUGUCAGAAAAUUGAACGGAUAGGUUUCUACCUUCUUCCAGUGACUCAGAGUCCUAUUUCUAGAUUUCUCAUAAAUAACCAGAUUCCGGCUGACUUUUCUUUUGUGGGUGUGGGAACGUGUGUUUACGUUGUGAAAGGCCAUUGCUUCAAGAGGCUGGGGCAGCUCUGACUUAAACAAAAAGAGGUGAGAGAAAAACCUAAAAUGUCAUUCUCAACCAUAAAGAACCUUGAUUCUGAAACUUCUACAACACCUGGUGCAGGUGUUCUGGAUCUGGCUUUCCUCCUGGAUAAAAGUAUUUGUUUUGUUUUUGUUUUUUUUUAAAGUUUACUUGUUUAUUUUGAGAGAGAGAGAGAGAGAGCACGUGCGUGCACCUGCAAGAGUAGGGGAGGACCAGGAGAGGGGGAGAGAGAGUCCCAAGUAGGGUCUGUAUGCACUGUCAGCGCAGAGUGACUCUAACUCUGGGCUUGAACUCAUGACGAGCCGAAAUCAAGUGUCAGACGCUUAACCAACUGAGCCACCCAGGUGCCCCUAAGAUAACGGUUUUUAAAGGAGUUUCAAGGUGAAUGUCUACAGACCAGAUACAAGGAAGGGAAGGAGCAGUGCCAGCAGCUCUCAUCCACACCUUUCUGACGAGCGCUUUUGACGCUAGCACCCAUCUAGAACAAAACACCUGUUAGAUUCCCAAGGCCCUCUGUCUUUGUCUCUUCCCUGAUAGAUAGCACCAGCCUAGGCUCUUCUGAGCAGUUAUUCAGGGGGAUGUUCUGAUAUGUCCAAUGGCACCUGCACAUCUCCCUUUUCCAGCAAGGCCCCCUGGACAUCUCACUUUAUUUUUGAGAGGGGGAGAGAGAGUGUGAGCUGGGGAGGGCCAGGGAGAGAGAGAGAGAGAGAGAGAGUGAGAGAGAGAGA